CCAGAUCGUUAGAAGCCCAGCCGAGCCAGGGAUCAGAUAAGGUGUCCCCGUUCUGAGUAGGUCUUGGCGGCGGCGCUCGUGCUGCACCGGCGGCCACGCGAAAAAAAUGGAGGGUUCUGGGCUGAAUUUCCUGCUCGACGUCGAUGACAGGUUCCCAUUGCGAGAGGAGUACGCCAACAACAUUGGGCAGCCAGAUCCGGUUCCUAUGGUCUUCUUGUCCAACAAUGGAGCUGGCCUUGCCGUUCCUGAAGACUCGAAUGAUGGGUCUGAGUGAGCUCAGCAGCUCGGCGGCGAUGGGACUGGUAGAGAAGGAGUUGGUGUCCGCCGGCAUCCGGAUGCAUCUCGGUCAGCGCAGUCGACUGACCGAGUUAAUCUGGAGGCACAUAGAUGGACGAAAAGAUUAACUGGAUGAAUGUAAAUUAUGUUUGUAGGAAGAGAUGCUGGGUGGAGCUGUCAGGAGGACGAAUUUGGGGACAGAGCAUCAUGCAAGUAAAGUUAGUCUAGAGCUAUGUUUGAGGAGUUUGGUCGCCUGCUGAUUGAAGGGAUGUCGUACAAUGUGAAGGAAGUAGAGAAGAUGAGGAAAUAUGUUGCAACACACAACAAUGCAGCCAAAAGAGAUAAAUGGAGCAGAGUGGAGUGUGAGGUGAACAUAAAUGAAGAUCAAUCAGAGUUUAUAUGUGAAUGUGGCCAUUUCGAGCAUACUGGGAUGCUAUGCAGCCAUGUUUUAAGGGUGAUGGAUAUACUUCAUCUGGAGGAAAUCCCUGUGAAACACAUACUCAAGCGGUGGAACACGGACGCGAGGGACAUACUUCUUCAACAUCUGGUGCAUGACCAGAAGGACCAUUCAGUGAACUUAUCCUUCACUUGCAGGAGCUCGAUGCUAUACCAGAAAGCCAUGGAAGUUGAACAGAUGGGCGAUGCUAGUGCAGAAUCAUUCGAGCACACGUUUGCUGGCCUGGAAGCUUUGUUGGUGAGUGGCGCACCUUUAGCACAGAAGAGGGAUGGUUCGGGCUUUGAGGACCUUAUGGCAAGUUUGGGCAGUGGUAGAUUUCCUGGAAAUGGGAGGCUGUGUUUGUUGGGGGCAACGGGCCUGACCAAUGCAAUAGUGGUGGGCACUCUGUUAGUGUGAAUGCAUCUAGCAGCUCCAGAAAAACAUAGACGGGUCGACAGUCUGACAAAUAGCAGGGAGAAGGCGCCAUACGAGGGCCUGAGUAAGCAUAAGUUUUGCAGCAUCUGUCAGCACAAGGGGCACAAGUGUACUAUCACCUAUCAGCCCAGAAAGAGGGGAUGUUCCCAAGAAACCACGGAAACCAGGGGAGUGCGAAAACUGCGUUAUGGAAGGGCGCCGCCAGAACAGUUGCACGAGGCCACUCAGUGCUGCUGAGAAAUGAGUUUUGAAUGUUUAAUUUCUACUCUGCAUUAGCUGUAUUGUAGUUCUUUUGAGGAUUUUCUAGUGUGUGUUUCAGAGAGAAUUGCUCCACGCUUGUUCCUCGGAUAUCAGAGGCGUCUUACACGAUGUAACACUGGAGUGACACGUUCUUUGUUACUAAAUUUGGAUAAUUGAUCGUUAGAACUACUGCUUUGUCCUGUUGGCAUAGUUCCAGCUCGUCCCUGAAUCAUAUUUGUGGUCGCCACCAAAAAGAUAGUGUUUUAAGUCUUAGGUUCAGAUCAUGGACUUGCAUGCUGAAUGUGGUUGGUGCUGAUACUUGGAUAGCAUGCAGGAUACAACAGUUUGCUUGCCCGGUGAUUGGGAGGCUGUUCACCCAGGUAGAUUCAAAAUUUAAACUGGUAGAAGGAGUAGUUCACAGGAUGUCAUCCCUCAAAGCAGUAUAAGAGUAUACCGUCCGGCAGCUCGCCUGCUGCCUUCCACCAUUGUUCAACAUUCAAACCAUUAUAAGCUAGCGUUGCUUGUAAUGGCACGACGAUGAGAUCCGAAGGUGGUGGCUCUGGCGGCGGAUUGGAGACUCGGGUGAGAAAGUUUGCUAUUGUCUAAACGAAUUGGUAGGGAAUGAAAGGGUGGAGGAAGUCUGACGGGACGGGGAGGAAGGAUGAAGAGAAGGCAGACAUGGCAGCAGAAUGCAAAGUGAGUAAGAACAAACGGGGGUGUUGAUAUUUUUGGGGUAUGGUUUGGUGCAGUUGAGGGUGUGGGGAGAUGCAUUUAAGACGGCCUCGUUUGUGAGUCCGUCCGCGUGAACGGCUCAGGCGGGCUCAUAAAAAGUUUCUGAGCCGUGUAAGGUGUACCUGGUCCGCGUGAACAGCGCGACGUGUGGUCGCAUUCAAUGCGCGACUGUGCUGUCUUAAAUAAAAGGAUAUACGAUCUAUAAAUACAGAGCAGAGCACAGAUCUGCAUGCAAUCUUGUGGUGUGGAUUUCGGGAGUAUCUGAGCUCGAGCUCAGAAACGAAUAUUCCAUCUUUUCCCUCUUUCUUUUCCUUGUUCUCUUUCUCGUCGACUCCCAUCAUUUCUUCAUAUGUCUAAGCAUGUUCCUCCUCAUCCUCCUCGAUUUCUAAAGUGGUGAGCCUCAUUAUUGGGACUGUUAUAUCCAUCCGGAGUUUGAUUCUCAUGAAUUUACCCAUGGCAUUUCCAUUAUCAUCCAUGUCUAUAUCCAAGACCUCUCCAAUUUGUUCUCCCACCAGACUCCCUACCUCUGUGUUCAUCAUUCCCAAAGGAAUACCAUAUGCUCUAACCCAUAUGGGGAUAGUCUUAUAUUCAUACUCAUCAAUUGUUUUGCUUGGCAUAAAAUCUUCCAUCACUAAUAACUCCUUAUUAAACGACCACGGUCCAUUAUUUAAAGCCUUCCUUUUACUAUCUUCUUCAUGGAACGAGAAAAGGAAUCGAUUCCUAUUCAAAUCCUUACAAUCCACUCCAGUGAAAGGGCUCCAGAUGCUGCCUAACGUUCUUCCUAAAUAUUCUGCUUUAGCUGGUCUUUCAGAGAAGAGCUUACCCACAGCCCGGAGCUUUCCCACCGUCGAUGAGCAGGUGUGUUUCCUUCCAAUCUUUAUGCUUCUCUUUUCUGCAUCUGACAGCUUCAAACUCUACAGUUUCUCGUCUACCCAGUCCAAAACAGGGGCCGUCCUGUCGCCCAUGGCAACCCCGCCUAGCUGGAGAUUCUGGGCUUGUGUCGCCACACCAAACACCGAUAAUCGCCCCGCCACCGCUGCAAGAAACUAGAGUGGCUCCUGCGGUGCCUUGAAUCAAGGGCUUCGGACGAGAGGGAGUUGGCUUGGGAUGGAGAGAGCUAGUCAGGGGCGUGAAGAUCUUGCUUGGAUCUCGUUGAUGCUUCGCCGGACCAGCACAACGCGUUGGAAUCUUAGAGAUUCGGUGGAUUUGAGUCUGAAGAUUGACGGCAAGAGCUGCCGACACUGGUCGCUGUGGAGUUGCCACAGAAGUCGCGGGAAACGAACCGAACCGUCACGAACGGACGAACUUCUUCCUGUCCCGUUUUGGACUGCACUAUUCACAUCCAGUUUAGUUGUUUAUUAAGUUUAUUACAAGACCGGUGACCCUCGCCCGCGAUAAAUAAAGAGCCAGAGUCUCCAAGAGUCGAAGCUUGUUUAAUUUCGUCAUAUGUAAAGCUCGCUCUUGGUAAUGCCUGCAGCAGAGACCAGACCUCCACAAAGAUAUUCCAGAUAUUCACGCAUGCUUUCUCCAUGCGUUCCAUGCGGCCGCCGCCCGUGAACGCGUGGUGCUGCUGGCGCUCAUUGGGCGCGAAACAAUGACACUGCCUGCACGACAGCCAGUGGCCUGAGAACAUAGCGCUCCGGCUGUACCGUGUGCUGCACAACUGUCGGAUUGAAAAUCUAGGUACAGGAUGGAGUGUGGAGGACUCAUCUUGUCAAAUUUGCAGAAAGCCCCCCAUAUAGAUACAGAAUGACCAAGGUUUAAUACAAUA